AAAGUUUGAUCAUGGUUCAGAUUGAUCGCUGGCGGCCUGCUUAACACAUGCAAGUCGAACGCGAAAGCACCUUCUGGUGUGAGUAAAGUGGCGGACGGGUGAGUAACGCGUGGAAAUCUACCUUGCAGUGGGGUACAACCCGGGUAAACUCGGGCUAAUACCGCAUACGACCUACGGUAGAAAGGGGGCUUCGGAUCUCGCUGCAAGAUGAGCCCGCGUCCGAUUAGCUAGUUGGUGGGGUAAAGGCCCACCAAGGUGACGAUCGGUAGCUGGUCUGAGAGGAUGAUCUGACACACUGGGACUGAGACACGGCCCAGACUCCUACGGUAGGCAGCAGUGGCGAAUAUUGGACAAUGGGCGAAAGCCUGAUCCAGCCAUGCCGCGUGUGUGAAGAAUGCCUGCGGGUUGUAAAGCACUUUCAGUGUGGAAGAAAAGUCCAAGGAUAAUACCCUUGGGUGUUGACGUUACCCACACAAGAAGCACCGGCUAACUCCGUGCCAGCAGCCGCGGCAAUACGGAGGGUGCGAGCGUUAAUCGGAAUCACUGGUCGAAUAGCG
rnacentral:rRNA from 1 species